UACGUAGGGUGCAAGCGUUGUCCGGAAUUAUUGGGCGUAAAGAGCUCGUAGGUGGUCUGUUGCGUCGGCUGUGAAAACCCGAGGCUCAACCUCGGGCCUGCAGCCGAUACGGGCAGACUAGAGUUCGGCAGGGGAGACUGGAAUUCCUGGUGUAGCGGUGAAAUGCGCAGAUAUCAGGAGGAACACCGGUGGCGAAGGCGGGUCUCUGGGCCGAUACUGACGCUGAGGAGCGAAAGCGUGGGGAGCGAACAGG
rnacentral:rRNA from 1 species